AGAUAAUAGAUACCCUGGUAGUCCACGCCCUAAACGACGGAUACUCGACAUAUGCGAUACACUGUAUGUGUCUGAGCGAAAGCAUUAAGUAUCCCACCUGGGAAGUACGACCGCAAAGGUUGAAACUCAAAGGAAUUGGCGGGGUCGGCACAAGCGGUGGAGCAUGUGGUUUAAUUUACGAUGAUACGCGAGGAACCGUUACCCUUGGGCGUAGAAUAGCAGAUUACGUACCGGUCGGGUAGGAAACGCUCUAUUUUAGUAGCAAUACACAGUCUGUAAGGUGCUGCAUGGCUGUCGUCAGCUCGUGCCGUGAGGU
rnacentral:rRNA from 1 species